rnacentral:rRNA from 1 species
UACGUAGGUGGCAAGCGUUGUCCGGAUUUAUUGGGCGUAAAGCGAGUGCAGGCGGUUCAAUAAGUCUAAUGUGAAAGCCUUCGGCUUAACCGGAGAAUUGCAUCGGAAACUGUUGAACUUGAGUGCAGAAGAGGAGAGUGGAACUCCAUGUGUAGCGGUGGAAUGCGUAGAUAUAUGGAAGAACACCAGUGGCGAAGGCGGCUCUCUGGUCUGUAACUGACGCUGAGGCUCGAAAGCAUGGGUAGCGAAC